rnacentral:rRNA from 1 species
AAUAGAUACCCGGGUAGUCCACGCCGUAAACGAUGAGUGCUAAGUGUUAGGGGGUUUCCGCCCCUUAGUGCUGCAGCUAACGCAUUAAGCACUCCGCCUGGGGAGUACGGUCGCAAGACUGAAACUCAAAGGAAUUGACGGGGGCCCGCACAAGCGGUGGAGCAUGUGGUUUAAUUCGAAGCAACGCGAAGAACCUUACCAGGUCUUGACAUCCCAUUGACCGCUAUGGAGACAUAGCUUUCCCUUCGGGGACAGUGGUGACAGGUGGUGCAUGGUUGUCGUCAGCUCGUGUCGUGAGAUGUUGGGUUAAGUCCCGCAACGAGCGCAACCCUUGUUCUUAGUUGCCAUCAUUUAGUUGGGCACUCUAAGGAGACUGCCGGUGACAAACCGGAGGAAGGUGGGGAUGACGUCAAAUCAUCAUGCCCCUUAUGACCUGGGCUACACACGUGCUACAAUGGACGGUACAAACGGUUGCCAACCCGCGAGGGGGAGCUAAUCCGAUAAAACCGUUCUCAGUUCGGAUUGUAGGCUGCAACUCGCCUACAU